AGACUUAAGAUGGCGGCGUGUGUGCUGGGGAAAAGUACUGCCGGCCUACCAGGUGUGGAAAGCAGCCAAAGAGCAAAUCUGAGGAAAGUACAGAAGCUCGCCAAGUUUUGUUUUGUGAAAUGAGAAAAGGUGUCAAUUCUAUAAUCAACUUUCCACUUCAAGAAACUAAAAAAGAAAAAAAAAAAGCAUAAUUAACCCCAAACCAGCUAAAGGAAGGAAAUAAUAAGAUGCAUUUAGUCACUUAAGAAAGACGCAGCAGGAGG